rnacentral:rRNA from 1 species
AGAGUUUGAUCCUGGCUCAGAUUGAACGCUGGCGGCAUGCCUUACACAUGCAAGUCGAACGGUAGCGGGCCUUCGGGUGCCGACGAGUGGCGAACGGGUGAGUAAUGUAUCGGAACGUACCUUUCAGUGGGGGAUAACGUAGCGAAAGUUACGCUAAUACCGCAUAUUCUGUGAGCAGGAAAGCAGGGGAUCGCAAGACCUUGCGCUGAUUGAGCGGCCGAUAUCAGAUUAGCUAGUUGGUGAGGUAAAGGCUCACCAAGGCGACGAUCUGUAGCGGGUCUGAGAGGAUGAUCCGCCACACUGGAACUGAGACACGGUCCAGACUCCUACGGGAGGCAGCAGUGGGGAAUUUUGGACAAUGGGGGCAACCCUGAUCCAGCCAUGCCGCGUGAGUGAAGAAGGCCUUCGGGUUGUAAAGCUCUUUCGGCCGGGAAGAAAUCGCAUGGGUUAAUACCCUGUGCGGAUGACGGUACCGGCAUA